rnacentral:tRNA from 2 species
CGGGGCGUGGCGCAGUCUGGUAGCGCGCCUGCUUUGGGAGCAGGAAGUCGGGGGUUCGAAUCCCUCCGCCCCGACCA